UACAGAGGUCUCAAGCGUUGUUCGGAUUCAUUGGGCGUAAAGGGCGCGUAGGCGGCCGAUCAAGUCAGACGUGAAAUCCCCCGGCUUAACCUGGGAACUGCGUCUGAUACUGGAAGGCUUGAGUAUGGGAGAGGGAUGUAGAAUUCCAGGUGUAGCGGUGAAAUGCGUAGAUAUCUGGAGGAAUACCGGUGGCGAAGGCGGCAUCCUGGACCAUUACUGACGCUGAGGCGCGAAAGCUAGGGGAGCAAACGGG
rnacentral:rRNA from 1 species